CGGGAUUAAGGAAAACCCCGAGAAGGGCGCACCUGUCUGCUCCCUUCCCCCCGGCCUGCUCUCCUGGUGUUUCCAUGGAGGUGGCUUUAACGGCUUAAGCAGAAAAUAGAGCUAAUUGGCUGAGGCUCCGGGAACUGGCACGGUGCGGGACGACACACUCUGUCCAUAAAUCAACCGUGGACUGCUGAUUGCUAUUAGUAGUACAGCUCACGUACUACGGCAAGAUGAAGGCUUUGCCAAAGACAUUUUUGUUCACCCUGUCACUGUAGCUGAGCACCCCAUCACAGAGACAUGUCACUGUCGGAAGACGUUAGGGUUUUUUUUUCCCCCUUAAAAAAUUCAUCUUGUAAAUUGCUUGAUAACAUGCUGACUGGACUGGCCAUGGCUUCCACCAGUGCUCGAGGCUUCAGCUCAACUUCCCACCCUCCGACGUUGAAUGGCAGGGAAUUGACAAAGUUAAAUUAUGCUUUAGAACCCAGAAUUUAUCCAGCAUGCUUCUGUUGCACCAAAAUUUUAUUUUGCUAAGAUACAACAUCUGGUGUCCUUAUUUAAAUACAUGGUUAAUCAUAGGAACUAAUUCAGUCUUUUAGGCUAUGGUGGAGGAGAGGGAGAAGAAAAGGGAGCAUUACUAUAGGUUUAGACAUGUAGUCAAAUACCUUGGAAUGGGGGGCAAGGCAGGCCAGGUGGUGAGAGUCCAACGACAAAAAUUUUUUAAAAACUACGUUAGACACUUUUCAGUAUUUUCAGUGCAAGCAAUCAGUCAUGUAUUCACUUUCCUUGGAGCGUCUUUGAUUUCUUAAUGUUUAAAUAUUGUAUCUCAAAUUAUGCUGCUUUUAGAGAAUACAAACGUUAUCGUUACCUAAAUGAAAAAAUGUCCCUGCCUCAAAUUUACUUGUUGUAGCGAAGAAACACUUUGAAAUCAGGUUUAGAAAAGUAUAGUUUCAGCUGGGCGUGAGCCACCGUGCCCAGCUGAUUAGUUUGUAUUUUCUAGAGUUUUUAUAUAAAUUG
rnacentral:lncRNA from 1 species